rnacentral:antisense_RNA from 1 species
UCCAGGGACCCCAGACAGCAUUUGGUCCCUGGCUCUGUGUCCCCACACAGCCACCCUACCCCAUGCUGCCUUUUACUGAGGCACACAGCAUUUUAGACAGGAGAACCCUGAUGGCAGAGGCUGGGUCUCGUGGGACCCUGUCGCCUUAAGGGCUUAAUCUGGGGCUGGAGCCUCUACAGAUGUUUGAGCAAAGGCGGGAGGCAAGGGAGGGAGGCCGGAAGCCACCCCAGGGACUCUGAUGUCCACCCUGCGGCAGCCUGUCUGUGGACAGAUGAUGCAGGAAGCUCACGGAACUCCCAAGCAGAAAUCAGCAGAGAUGGAGCCUGGUUAUUUUUCAGCACACAAAAGCCGAGGGCCCCUUCCUGAGAUGCCUGCCUCAGCCCGGUAGUGAAACUGAACCCACCUCAGACGGGAAAGGCUUGGCGGGCUCUGCUUGGUAGGAAGUCCACAGUGAUGCCUCGUCCCUGAGAUGAGAAUCAUCACCUCCGCUUUACAAAUGAGAUGACCAAGGGUCAGGGAGGAGAAAGGACCUCCCCACAGCCCUGAGUCACCUGCCUGGAGACUGAGGGAGCCAUAAUGCGAAUCUUCCCCCUGCCAAACCCACCGACUCCAUUACGCUGCCUCCAGAGAACCCGAGCCCCGCGGCGAGAAAGUGGCAGAGCUGGGCCUCGAACCUGGGUCCUGGACUCUUGGUCCUGUGCUCCUUGUGGAAGAUGAACUGCUUCUUCAGAGACAAGGUCUCAAUGUAUUGCCCGGGCUGUUCUAACUCCUGGGCUCAAGCGAUCCUCCGGCCUCAGCCUCCUAAAGUGAUGGGAUUACAGUCAUGAGUCACCACGCUUGGCCUGGGCAGGAGUUUCUAAAGUGGGACUGCCUCACACAUCGACUCCCUGGAGCUGGCAGGAUGAAGCCCAUGAACUUUGGCUUGCUAAACCCUCCCUCCCGGCUCCCUCAGGAGUUCGAGUCUGCCUCCUUUCUCCGGCUGGCUCCUCAGCUUAAAGCGCUUUCCUCCAGGCAGCUCUCUCGGGCUUCACAGUGACCCUUCCUCAGUGCUCCGCAGCAGCAUGCUUCUGGCAUCUCAUCCCAACACAGUGACCGGCAGCUAAGUGCGGCUGUGUGGCCCUGACCAAGUCAUUUCACUUCAUUUUUAUGCUUUGGCUUUCACAUCUUUCCACGGAUGUGAAUGGAGAUGAUCAUGGUGCCGACCCCAAAGGACCCUUACACGUCUUAAAAAAGUGAGCCAUGGAAAGGCCUCAGCCCAGUGCCUAGCAGAGAAGCAGCACAUGGGAGGGAAGGAACGACUAGAGAAGACCCGUGGUGUGCCAGGCACUAGACCUGGGGCUUGGUGGCACAUGUCAGCUCCUUGCAAGUGUGAAACAACUGGAGUGCAACGAGCAUCAGUAACUCGCCCUAAGUCACACAUCUGGUAAACAGCAAAGCCGGGAUUUGAACCCAGGUUUUCCCAUGGCAUCGGAUAAGAUGGCAGUCACCACCUCCUUCUAACCCACCCUGCCUCACCUGCUGCAUCCUUACGACUUCAGGUGUCACCUCCCAGCUGGGUUUAAGGGGCUGAGUUGUCCACUCUGAUCUUCUCCAAGCACAAACUGCAAAGCAGACCAGAAAGCAGCUGGCCCUGACUCCAGGGCUACCCACAGAUGCCCCUGCACCUCCUCAUGCUCCUGUGCUCCUGUGUGAUGUCCUGGGCUGUGCAGGAUGACAAGGCUGGGGAAGUCCCAAUCUGAAGAGACCAAGUGCUCCCUGACAAUUUGCUGAUCUAAUCAUGUACAACUUAAGACAAAGUUAACCCGUCUCAUUGAAUGAUAUGGUAUAAUGGUGAUGACUGAGCUGCCCAGUAAUUGUGCUCAACCAGGAAGCAGCUCAUGGAGUCAGUUGUAAUUAGUAUUUGUGUUACACAGGUGAGUGGGUGGGUAAGGGCUGGGCAGAGGAAGGAGGAAGCGGGUGGGGCAGGAAGCUCUGGGGACUCCUUAGAUCCAUGAACCUGAUGCCAGCCGACUCAUGUGGUUGAUCUUGUCUAACCUUCAUGAUGACCGCAUGAUGUACUGUUAUCUCUCUUCUAAGGUGAGAAAACGGGCUCAGAGAAGUCCAUUCACUAGUCCAAGGUCAGACAGCUAGAAAAUGACAGAGCCAGGGUUCCCUCUUCAGCCCAGGCGAUGUCUUGGACAGCAGAAGGAACAGGAAUAGGGCUGGGAGGCUGGAGAUCCACAUCUGGGUCCCAGUUCUAACACUGCCUUACCCUGGGCCUCAGCAAGUAGCAUCCCGCUUCAGGAUACAAAGAGAUAGUAUGUUUGUCAGGUUGCAGGCGGCUGAGGGUGUGGACUUGGGAGCUAGGCUCCUUGGAUUCUAAUCCUUGGGCAAGCUACUUCACCAUCUGAGCCUCAGUGUCCUCAUCUAAAUGGAGAUGACAACAGUGUCUACCUCAUAGGCUUGUGAAGAUAAAAUGAGUAACAAGACUUA